rnacentral:rRNA from 1 species
CCUACGGGUGGCAGCAGUGGGGAAUAUUGGACAAUGGGCGAAAGCCUGAUCCAGCCAUGCCGCGUGUGUGAAGAAGGCCUUCGGGUUGUAAAGCACUUUCAGUGGGGAAGAAAGCCUUGGGGCUAAUACCCUCGAGGAAGGACAUCACCCACAGAAGAAGCACCGGCUAACUCCGUGCCAGCAGCCGCGGUAAUACGGAGGGUGCGAGCGUUAAUCGGAAUUACUGGGCGUAAAGCGCGCGUAGGCGGUCUGAUAAGCCGGUUGUGAAAGCCCCGGGCUCAACCUGGGAACGGCAUCCGGAACUGUCAGGGUAGAGUGCAGGAGAGGAAGGUAGAAUUCCCGGUGUAGCGGUGAAAUGCGUAGAGAUCGGGAGGAAUACCAGUGGCGAAGGCGGCCUUCUGGACUGACACUGACGCUGAGGUGCGAAAGCGUGGGUAGCAAACAGGAUUAGAUACCCGGUAGUC